rnacentral:misc_RNA from 1 species
CGAAAGCAAAGAGCAAACAAAAUCCAAUCAUAGCGGCAGAGACAUAUCCCAUCCAGUCAUGCUUGAAUCCGAAAUAGCUAUCAAGAAAUUCAGCCACGGUUUCACCAGUAUCGAGCUUCUCUUGUACAUCUCCAUACUGAGAUGAUACAAGUCCGUGCAAGGUCCAGGAUGUUGGACAUGCCCAGCAGUACCAUCUCCACCACAACGGGACUCUCGGCCGAGGGACUGUGAACCCAGAGAAGAUGUACCACACUUUAUAGAAGAACACCGAAAAUACAGACGAGAUUUGUAGGUUAGGGGACAAAG